CCUAACAUGUCAUUAAACCACGUUUAAUAUUAGACAUGGAAAAUUGCUUGAACACUUUAAAGGAUUCAUUCUUUCUAAUUAAACUGAACGUUGGACGAUCUUGUUUUGUCUUUUCCUCAAGGCACUGGUUAAAAAUCAGCAUGCUCAUGAUGACUUGCUAUGGUAAUGAAUGCGCGUGGGGACUGGUGAAGACAUAUGGACAGCUCAGCGCCCGUCGUGUAUAUGAGCGCACUAAAGUAAACAGCUAGCUAAUUAAGCUAACUGCUAAGGUUGUAAGCUAGCUAAGUAAGGUUUAUCUUGGUAAACAUUAGCAACGUUGGCACCAGAUUUUGCACAAGUCGUUUUCAAAGACUAUCGGCAAAAAUAAGCAGCUUCUGUACAGCUUUCCAAAAUCCCCAUCCGAGAGUUUGACAGAAAUGUGUCAUAAGGAUACACUACACCACUGUCAGGUGGUGUGCCCACGGAGUCACUGGAGCACAAAUAAGAUGGUGAUAACCGCUCUACUACCAACAGCCAAAAAAGGGCUCUGGACACUGGACCUACAUGGGAUAAGAUUGCAUGAGCAGAAAAGUCAACUGUGGCACAUUGGUUUGGUGGCUGAUGUCAACUUCAAAGUGUCUAAAGUGGCAUUUGAUGAUUACACCCAUCAGAGAAUGAGGAAACCUUUUGGAGCUACUCAGAGGAAGGAGUCAAGAGCAUUAUUUUCUUGUAUG